GAUGAACGCUGGCGGCGUGCCUAAUACAUGCGAGUCGAGCGAAUGGAUUAAGAGCUUGCUCUUAUGAAGUUAGCGGCGGACGGGUGAGUAACACGUGGGUAACCUGCCCAUAAGACUGGGAUAACUCCGGGAAACCGGGGCUAAUACCGGAUAACAUUUUGAACCGCAUGGUUCGAAAUUGAACGGCGGCUUCGGCUGUAACUUAUGGAUGGACCCGCGUCGCAUUAGCUAGUUGGUGAGGUAACGGCUCACCAAGGCAACGAUGCGUAGCCGAACUGAGAGGGUGAUCGGCCACACUGGGACUGAGACACGGCCCAGACUCCUACGGGAGGCAGCAGUAGGGAAUCUUCCGCAAUGGACGAAAGUCUGACGGAGCAACGCCGCGUGAGUGAUGAAGGCUUUCGGGUCGUAAAACUCUGUUGUUAGGGAAGAACAAGUGCUAGUUGAAUAAGCUGGCACCUUGACGGUACCUAACCAGAAAGCCACGGCUAACUACGUGCCAGCCGCCGCGGUAA
rnacentral:rRNA from 1 species